rnacentral:lncRNA from 1 species
GAAUAAGUGGACUCACUGCAAUUUCAGAAAAUUUGUGCUACUGCACCAUUACUCAGGAAACAUUUCUACAAGGAAAAGGUUUUUCUCUCCGAUGGGCUACUUGUUGCUCCUCUGUGCUUCAGGAAAGUAACAAGUAACAGGGACAAAGGUUACCUAUACCUCAAGAACUGACGUAACAAGGGACACUUCUACCUAUUUUGAGAUUGGUAUUAGGCAGACAAGAUGAUUUUCUAAUAAACCCGUCUCGGAAACAAUACUGGAUCAGGUGGAUGACA